rnacentral:rRNA from 1 species
AUGACUAGGGAAAACCUUAGGAAGAGACACAUCAUCAAACCCCUUGAUUGUGUUUACUGCUUGGAACAAGAGUCUUGUUCUCACCUAUUUUUUGAAUGUAUAGUUGCUAAACAUCUCUGGGCCCACAUUGAGCAAUAUUUCUCUAAUUAGGUUGGCUCAUCCUUCGAAUCUGUCGCCAAAUUCUGGAUUGCUACCAAAAAGUGCUCACUUUUAAACACUGUUAGCUCAGCUGUCCUUUGGUGCCUCUGGAAAUAUAGAAAUGCUAUGAUUUUCAGUAACACCUCCUGGAUUUCCAUUCCGCAGGUCUUGAGGUUGAUCAGGAACAUGGUGAGGAACUGGGCGAUUCUCUCCUCCGGAUCGGACAAGGACAAGUUGAUGAGCUUCGUGGAAACCCUAACAAGAUCCCUCCAGAAACCGUUGGCGAUUACUUGUGGCUAA